CGCCAUUAGUCUCCACAUUAUCAUAAUUCAUAUUUAUAUCUGGUAUCCCCAAAGCUGAUUUCUUUCUUGGUCGCUGUGAAGUAACUCCUUUUUUUCUUCCUCUCUUCUUUUCAGAUUUGACCGACAAGCUGGGUUCAGCAGGAGUCCCAUCCAUACCAGCAAUACUGGCAUCAACUGUAGCCUGCUUAGAAGUUGAUUUAUCUUUUCUUUUUCUUUUUUUUGGGCUAGGUUUACC
rnacentral:misc_RNA from 1 species